rnacentral:rRNA from 1 species
CUUGGUCAUUUAGAGGAAGUAAAAGUCGUAACAAGGUUUCCGUAGGUGAACCUGCGGAAGGAUCAUUAUUGAAUGAACUUGGUGUGGUUGUCGCUGGCCCUCUUGGGGGCAUGUGCACACCUACCAUCCUCAUCUCUCCACCUGUGCACCUCUUGUAGAUUUGGAAUUGAUUAUCCGAGGCAACUCGGUCGUGAGGACUGCUAGCACUUAGCUGGCUUUCUUUGCAAUUCCAGGUCUAUGUUUUUCAUAUACCCCAUUGUAUGUAACAGAAUGUAUCAUUGGGCCCUUGUGCCUAUAAACCUUAUACAACUUUCAGCAACGGAUCUCUUGGCUCUCGCAUCGAUGAAGAACGCAGCGAAAUGCGAUAAGUAAUGUGAAUUGCAGAAUUCAGUGAAUCAUCGAAUCUUUGAACGCACCUUGCGCUCCUUGGUAUUCCGAGGAGCAUGCCUGUUUGAGUGUCAUUAAAUUCUCAACCAAUAUCAACUUUUGCUGAUAAUGGCUUGGAUGUGGGGGUCCAUUUUGCUGGCUUCUCAGAUAGUCAGCUCCCCUUAAAUGCAUUAGCCGGUGCCCCGCGUGGACUGUCUAUUGGUGUGAUAAUUAUCUACGCUAUAGACAUCUGCAAUCAUAUGGGUUUGCGCUGCUUCUAACAGUCUGUUGAUUCAGACAAAACAUGACAAUUUGACCUCAAAUCAGGUAGGACUACCCGCUGAACUUAAGCAUAUCAAUAAGCGGAG